CAUCACCAGGUGCCAAAGCAACAGCCAAGGAAGCUUAUAUGGAAGUAUUUUUGAUUUUCAUUUUCUUUCCGGUACCCCAUGCUGACUCUAACAUAACUAACCCUCACCUUCCCUUUCCCCCUCAUUUCAUCUUCCUGAAUUAAUUGUCAUUGUUUUCUGCUUUUUCAACCAAUUGUGUUGUACUGAUUUUUUUCACUUGAAUUUUUGUGAUUUGUUGCAUUGUUUUGAAGUUUCACUAAUCUGCCAGUUUUAUACUUUCAGGAACUCAGAAGAGGAACAACGAUGGAGGAGCAAGGUCAUCCAACAGAAAAAGACAAGAUGACGAGUACAUUUCUCAGAUAUAUACAGCAGUCAACAUGGCCCAAAGUGAAAGUUUAGGUUGACCAAGAUCGUGUAGUGCGGAGAAGUACCUCUCCUAUUUAACAGCAUUCAAGAAAAGAAAGCGUGUAAGCAGAGAUGCUGAGACAGUUCAGAAGGAACAUCACCAGGAGCCACAGCAUCAGCAGAGGAAGCUUAUAUGGAAGUAUUUUUGAUUUUCAUUUUCUUUCCGGUACCCCAUGCUGACUCUAACAUAACUAAUCCUCACCUUCCCUUUCCCCCUCAUUUCAUCUUCCUGAAUUAAUUUUCAUUGUUUUCUGCUUUUUCAACCAAUUGUGUCAUACUGAUUUUUUGCACUUGAAUUUUUGUGAUUUGUUGCAUUGUUUUGAAGUUUUACUAAUCUUCUGCCAGUUUUAUACUUUCAGGAACUCAGAAGAGGAACAACGAUGGAGGAGCAAGGUCGACCAACAGAAGAAGACAAGACGACGAGUAUAUUUCUCAGCUAUAUACAGCAGUCAGCAUGGCCCAAAGUGCAGAAGAAAGUUGAGAUUGACCAGGAUGCUGAAGUGCGGAGAAGUACCUCUCCUAUUUAACAGCAUUCGAGAAAAGAAAGUACGUAAGCAGAGAUGCUGAGACAGUUCAGAAGGAACAUCACCAGGUGCCACAGCAACAGCCAAGGAAGCUUAUAUGGAAGUAUUUUUGAUUUUCAUUUUCUUUCCCCUACCCCCUGCUGACUCUAACAUAACUAACCCUCACCUUCCCUUUCCCCCUCAUUUCAUCUUCCUGAAUUAAUUGCCAUUGUUUUCUGCUUUUUCAACCAAUUGUGUCAUACUGAUUUUUUGCACUUGAAUUUUUGUGAUUUGUUGCAUUGUUUUGAAGUUUUACUAAUCUUCUGCCAGUUUUAUACUUUCAGGAACUCAGAAGAGGGACAACGAUGGAGGAGCAAGGUCGACCAACAGAGGAAGACGAGAUGACGAGUCCAUUUCCCAUCUCUAUACAGCAGCCAACAUGGCCCAAAGU